rnacentral:rRNA from 1 species
GCGUGAGUGAUGAAGGCCUUAGGGUUGUAAAGCUCUUUCAGUAGGGAAGAUAAUGACGGUACCUACAGAAGAAGCCCCGGCUAACUUCGUGCCAGCAGCCGCGGUAAUACGAAGGGGGCUAGCGUUGUUCGGAUUUACUGGGCGUAAAGCGCACGUAGGCGGAUCGUUAAGUCGGGGGUGAAAUCCUGGAGCUCAACUCCAGAACUGCCUUCGAUACUGGCGAUCUUGAGUCCGGAAGAGGUGAGUGGAACUCCUAGUGUAGAGGUGGAAUUCGU